AUCCAGCUGACCAGUCCCAAAUAGGACGAAAUGCGCGUCAAACUGGAU
rnacentral:hammerhead_ribozyme from 1 species